AAAAAGAUGCCUUCGGUCGUAACGCCACCUUGAAGUCAAUAUUUGGCCAACAUUCGCUCAUUCAUGAGCAACUUGGCUUAGACUAUAAAAAUUGUAACAGGAACAUGAAAUUGAAUUUAUAAUGCAUGCACAUUGUACAAUCCAGCCCACAUUUUUUAUACGGUCACCAAUAUAAUUUUGGAAACAUUGGAAAUUUCCGCUAUUCUACUUUCGAAAUCGCCUCGCGUUUCUCCUCCAUUCGCGGGCCAUUCCCACAAUUCACCUCGCGCAAGCGCAGUUCCCGUUUCGCGUGUAUCGAGUCGCCAUAAUAAUGAAUCAGAACAUGUUUGACGAAAGCAACCCAAGAACGCUCUACGUUGGGAACCUGAGCGACAAUGUUUCAGAAGAAUUCUUGUUAACACUCUUUGGACAGAUUGGACCAUGUAAAUCCUGUAAAAUCAUCCACGAGGUAAGUGGUCAUUUUUCGUCCUUUGGUCACAAUGGCUUCUUGGUACGGUUCUGAUUUGUGCUAUAAAUCUGACUUACCCCCCUUUGUUUAGUGUUGUCCAAUCUUGAAAACUUUCCUUUCAUUGAAACCUCCUUCACCGGUUAAUUCUGAUUACUUUAAUUAUUCUAAUAUUACUGUGAUUUGAAGCUCUUGUAAACCUAUGAUAAAUGGGAAGUCUUUGUAAAAGGAUUGAUGGCUAUUCAUAAUCAUACCACUGACCGCUGUCUCUCUCAGUGCUUGCAGAAGACUCACUACUCUAAGAAAGUAGAAAGUUCAAGUUGUUGCACCAACACUCUACUCCUCAAACUCUUCUCUUACUCUAGAUUAGUUCUAAGGGUUAGCUUCUCAGGCGCAUUCAAUUUAAUCAUAUCCAUUACCAAUUAUUCUCUUAAACUAAGACUUAGUUCAGUCUGGUCAGUUGCUAUAUUAUAUUGAAGACAGGGGCCCUCUAUGCCAGUCUAUGGCUGUCCAGUGCCUGCUACCAGGCCUACCUAGAUCUAGAAUCAAGCAUCUUUUGUCAAACAAACCAUUAAAAGCGUAUUUUUUUACAGUAUGAAAUUCUCAAUUUGAAGGACCAUACUAUGCUUCUUCAUUUUAAAUUGAUCUCAAUAGGCCCUAAAACUUCAAGUUCAAGACGUCACACAUGUUUGGUGUGACUUACGCUUAAAAUUACAUGCCAUGCGAUUAACUCUUUUUAUCCUAGCCGUACCCCCACGGACUCUGUACCCGUCCUGGGGCCGCCGUGCCGUAUGAGUCUGAAGUCAGUGCGUAUAGUUCAAAGUGCUAUAUUUCUUACUUUUACUCUAAGGUUUUAAGGAAAUUUGGCA